AUCCAUUCUGCCCAAGCAACAGGCAGCUCAGCAAUAGCAACACAUUUCGUAUUCAUAAAGGGAUGCAGUACAAUGCAAAGCAAUGAUCAGCUAGGUCUGGAUUACUGGUGAUGGUUCAUCUGGAUAUUGAAUCUCGUCUACUAAUCGCAUCGACAAAACUCAGUCAGCAACCCUUCCACAAAGAAGCAGACACGAAGUACCAGUUGCCCUUGAAUCUCCUUCGAGAUUCGAUCCCGGGUCAUCGGUCUUCCGAGAUUCAUUUCCUCACUCUUCCUUCCGUCCUUCCUUCCUCCUUUGGCAAAAACUGCCCUCAGGCGCGUGUCGUGUCGUCGCCGUCUCUACGCUUUUGAUAACAACUUGUACUCGUGUGGAUACGUUAUGGAGUGCUUUCAGCUAUUCAUCCUUAUUCGGCCAGCCCAAAAUAUUUAACAAAAUCGUUCUCGGCCUGCACAAUAUCUGAAAUAAGUAUUACCUGAAAAGGGAAAGGAAUUGAUUGGUCAACAUUUGUACCGUCAAGUCAAGUGAACAAAAUUUGGGGUCUGUACAUGAACUGAGAAUAAAGGAUAAAGCGUGACAAAUAUCCGCAUCAAACCAGAA